UCCCUGGUGGCUCAGACAGUAAAGAAUCUGCCUGCAGUGCAGGAGAUCCAGGUUCAAUCCCUGGGUUGGGAA
rnacentral:tRNA from 1 species